AGCAGCCGCGGUAAUUCCAGCUCCAAUAGCGUAUAUUAAAGUUGUCGCAGUUAAAAAGCUCGUAGUUGAAUUUCGGGGUCAGUAGGCUGGUCGUGCCACAGGUAUGUACUGGUCUCACUGAUUCCUCCUUCCUGAUGAACCGUAAUGCCAUUAAUUUGGUGUUGCGGGGAAUCUGGACUGUUACUUUAGAAAAAAUUAGAGUGUUUAAAGCAGGCUAACGCUUGAAUACAUUAGCAUGGAAUAAUGAAAUAGGACGAUCGAUCCUAUUUUGUUGGUUUCUAGGAUUGACGUAAUGAUUAAUAGGGAUAGUUGGGGGCAUUAGUAUUCAAUUGUCAGAGGUGAAAUUCUUGGAUUUAUUGAAGACUAACUACUGCGAAAGCAUUUGCCAAGGAUGUUUUCAUUAAUCAAGAACGAAAGUUAGGGGAUCGAAGACGAUCAGAUACCGUCGUAGUCUUAACCAUAAACUAUGCCGACUAGGGAUCGGAUGAUGUUUAAU
rnacentral:rRNA from 1 species